GACGAACGCUGGCGGCGUGCUUAACACAUGCAAGUCGAACGGUGAACUUGAGAGCUUGCUCUUGGGGGAUCAGUGGCGAACGGGUGAGUAACACGUGAGUAACCUGCCCCGGACUCUGGAAUAAGCGCUGGAAACGGCGUCUAAUACUGGAUACGAAGUAGAGCUGCAUGGCUACUACUUGGAAAGUUUUUCGGUCUGGGAUGGGCUCGCGGCCUAUCAGCUUGUUGGUGAGGUAGUGGCUCACCAAGGCGACGACGGGUAGCCGGCCUGAGAGGGCGACCGGCCACACUGGGACUGAGACACGGCCCAGACUCCUACGGGAGGCAGCAGUGGGGAAUAUUGCACAAUGGGCGCAAGCCUGAUGCAGCGACGCCGCGUGAGGGAUGACGGCCUUCGGGUUGUAAACCUCUUUCAGCAGGGAAGAAGCCGCAAGGUGACGGUACCUGCAGAAGAAGCACCGGCUAACUACGUGCCAGCCGCCGCUGUAACAC
rnacentral:rRNA from 1 species